GAUGAACGCUGGCGGCGUGCCUAACACAUGCAAGUCGAGCGAUUUACUUCGGUAAAGAGCGGCGGACGGGUGGGUAACGCGUGGUUAACCUGCUCUGUACACACGGAUAAAAAACCGAAAGGUAUGCUAAUACGAGAUAAUAUACUUUUAUCGCAUGGUAGAAGUAUUAAAGCUCCGGCGGUACAGGAUGGACCCGCGUCUGAUUAGCUAGUUGGUAAGGUAACGGCUUACCAAGGCGACGAUCAGUAGCCGACUUGAGAGGGUGAUCGGCCACAUUGGAACUGAGACACGGUCCAAACUCCUACGGGAGGCAGCAAUGGGGAAUAUUGCACAAUGGGCGAAAGCCUGAUGCAGCAACGCCGCGUGAGCGAUGAAGGCCUUCGGGUCGUAAAGCUCUGUCCUCAAGGAAGAUAAUGACGGUACUUGAGGAGGAAGCCCCGGCUAACUACGUGCCAGCAGCCGCGGUAAAAC
rnacentral:rRNA from 1 species